rnacentral:rRNA from 1 species
ACUCAAAUGAAUAGACGGGGGCCCGCACAAGCGGUGGAGCAUGUGGUUUAAUUCGACGCAACGCGAAAAACCUUACCAGGCCUUGACAUGCCUGUCGUCGGUCCCAGAGAUGGGACUUUCAGUUCGGCUGGACAGUGCACAGGUGCUGCAUGGCUGUCGUCAGCUCGUGUCGUGAGAUGUUGGGUUAAGUCCCGCAACGAGCGCAACCCUCCUCAUUAGUUGCCAUCAGGUUAAGCUGGGCACUCUAAUGAUACUGCCGGUGACAAGCCGGAGGAAGGCGGGGAUGACGUCAAGUCCUCAUGGCCCUUACGGCCUGGGCUACACACGUGCUACAAUGGCGGUGACAGUGGGGAGCAAUACAGCAAUGUGGAGCCAAUCCCAAAAAGCCGUCUCAGUUCGGAUUGUACUCUGCAACUCGAGUACAUGAAGUUGGAAUCGCUAGUAAUCGUGGAUCAGCAUGCCACGGUGAAUACGUUCCCGGGCCUUGCACACACCGCCCGU